GUCUAUAUGGAGGAGACGCAUGAACAGAGCAGUCCAGAAUGCUGAGCCACCCCACUUGAGACGGCUGUCCUAGACAAUCUUCCAGAUACUAAAGAAAGUUUUCUCAAACUCGAAAGAUGGAUAAGAAGAAAGAGAGAAGAGGGCUUAGAUCCUGUGAAUCUCCAGAGGGGAUAUCUCGGUUGUAUCCCCCUUGGCUGAGCCGGUGAAGGGGGACCGUGGAACCCCAAGCAGAACCCUAUGCUGCCUUACCCAGGAGUUGCCCAGAAACUUACAAGACCUCAGCAUUUUCCCAUGCCCAUCAUGGAAAGAAAGCAAAAGAAGCAAGGUGAGAGAUAGGCAGACGAUCAGAAACAGCCUCUGGAAAUGACCGAUAUGAUAUGUAUGGCAAAGGUACCAGCAGCCUGUCUUUUCAUGCAGUAAGGGAAGAGGGACAGACAAGCCAGAGCAGCACAUGUGUUUGGCCUUGCUGUCAGGAGGAUGACAAGGCAGUCUGCUGCCCUGCCUACCCGUACUAGAACAUAUAGCAAAGGCCCAAGAUAAUAGCACUGGAGGAGGUCCAGACAUCAUCAGAUCCAGCCUGAAGCUGAAAGAAGAGGCUUCAGAAAGAAUUUUUUUUUAAAAAUGUGUUUGUUGUUGUGCAGGAGAGAGACAAUGAGACAGAAUAUAUAGUAUAAUUGAAUUUCUGUUUCAUAUAACAAGUUGGCUUAGUAUAGAAGGUCUCAGUCACCCACAGUCCAAAUAUAUAAAAAUGCUACUUCCAUAGGAAAAAAAUCUUAAGUAGCUAUGAAAACAAAAAAAUUUCCAGAUGCCAGAAAGGAAGAGUUAAGCCAAAACCAGUGUGGUAAGUGCAACUGAAACUAAUGGCUUAUGAGAUACUGAACCUAGAAAUAGAUCUCAUUGGCUAGGGAAGACAUUUUAAUGUCCAUGUGGGAUUAGAGAUGAAGCUAAUAGAAGUUGGGAGCUGAAACUGAGCUCUCUGAUCAGAGAUGGAAGCUACAGCCUGACAAGCUGUCUCGUCUGUCAACAGCCGAUUGAUAGGAAGAAGCGAGGAUUGGCAUAGUCAGAAUUAACAUUAUGCGUACCAUGGGAGAAAUGGAAGUUAAAAAUAAAAACAAUCUUGACUAGUGAAAAUGGAAGAUCCCUCCAAGCAUCUCCGCAAACUAGUCUCCAGAGGAUGAAGUCUUUCUUCAUAUCUCAGCUUUGUUCUCUGUGUGGGUCCCAUUUUUAGCUAACAAGGUGGGCUAGACUACAAAGGUGGAUGUGGGUUCAAAUAUUGGCAGAGAUAUUAAUUGGCAAGUGGUUGGCAUUAUUUUUCUUUUCACCCCAGAAGCAACAAAGCAAGGAAACCUUGUAAAUGUUACAAACUCCCAGAAGUGUGUCUUAAAUUGGAUACUCCCAGGAGCCUGCCUGUAGAGAAAAAUCAUAUAGGUCAGAGAUUCCCAAAUCUUAAGAGCCACCCUAUUGCCUGAAGAGAAAAAUUCUUGUUGCUCUGCAGUUAGAGACUAGCACAUUCAGUUGUGCGUGUCUGACUGUAUGUGUGUGUGUGUGUGCAUGCAUGUGUAUGUGUGUGGUAUGUGUAUACAGGCAUUCAUUGGGAGUGGUCAAAACCCAAUGACAAGACAGCUAGGUUCUUUCUCUCUCUUCUUGAGGUUGCAAAAGGCAAUGACCUUUGAGUGAUGGCAGCUUGAGUAAUAUGUCCUUACAGCUCCGAGAACAGCAGAAAAGUUAAGACUUAUAUCCUAGUUUCUCUGGAAAUUGUUUCAGACUUAGCUUUAAAUGCCCUUUCCUGAAGAAAUCAUAGUACCAGGAGAUUCUGUGCUAUGAUUGCCUUAGGAUUGGUCAAGCCUAAAUCUCAUGGUCACUUGUGAAGACAGCUUCUAACAAUAUGCAAUAAGAAAAUUCCUUAUGUUAUUAUAAAUACUGUUCAGUGGAGCAACAAUUGAAAGCCCUCCCUGACACUAUCAUAGCCAAAUAUCAAUUCUGGAAAACAGUUUCAAGAAGGAAGGAAGGAAGGAGGGAAGGGAGGGAGAGCAGGAGGGAAGGAGGAAAAAAAUUAUAAACCAAUCUUACAUAGGAGUACAAAGGUAGGCAGGUGUGGUGGCCCACAUUUGUAGUCCUAGCACACUUGGGGAAUCAGCAGCAAGAGGAUCCCAAGUUCAAGCCCAGUCUGAUCAACUUAGUGACUUAACAGGAUCCUGUCUCAAAAUAUAAAGAAAGGGCUUGGGGAUAUAGCUCAGGCCAAAGCCCUGGAUUCAAUUCUCAGUAACACACACAUACAAAUGUAUACCCAUUACAUGAUAAAAUUAACAAAUUAAAUCCAGCAAUACAUAUAUAUGUGUGUGUGUGUGUGUGUGUGUGUGUGUGAGAUAAGUUUACAGACAUAUUUUAUAGAGAGUCAUGCACUGCUUAGCAAAAGAGUUCUGAGACUCAUUAGACAACUUCAUCAUUGUGCAAACAUCAUAAAAUGUACUUCCAUAAAUUUAAGAUGACAUCACUAGGCAACAUAAUCUUAUGAAACAACUGAUGUUUACUGUCUGUUGUUGACCAAAAUGUCAUUAUGUGGCAUAUGAAUGUAUAUAAAAUAUAUCUGUAAACUUAGCAGGAAUAUAAAAAUAUUUUAAAAUUAAGAAAGGUAUUCAUUAAACUGCUACAUUAGAAGACCACAUGAGUGAAACUACACAAUCAUCUCAAAAAAUGCCCAGUGCAGGGCUGGGGAUGUAGCUCAGUGGCACUGCGCCUGCCUUGCACUUGCAAGGUCCUGAGUUCGAUCCCCAGUACCAAAAAAAAAAAAAAAAAAAAGGACUAUGCAGCAUUUAACCAAUUAAUGAGAAAAGAUACUCUGAUUUAACUAGAAGUCUUCUAACUUGGUAAAGGUUAUCUCCCAGAAAUUUAUAGUAAAUAUUAUACUCAAUGAAAUAUUUAUAUUUACCCCCAAAUUAGAAUCUUCAAUGUCCAUCAACACAAUAAUUAUGGGAUAUCCACCUAUAAAAUUCCAUGAGACAGGUAAAUAUAAACAAGGAAAAUUCU
ensembl:lncRNA